rnacentral:rRNA from 1 species
UACGUAGGCAGCAAGCGUUGUUCGGAGUUACUGGGCGUAAAGAGUGUGUAGGCGGUGCUCUAAGUUCGGUGUGAAAUCUCCUGGCUCAACUGGGAGGGUGCGCCGGAAACUGGGGUGCUGGAGCGCGGGAGAGGAAAGCGGAAUUCCUGGUGUAGCGGUGAAAUGCGUAGAUAUCAGGAGGAACACCGGCGGUGUAGACGGCUUUCUGGACCGUAGCUGACGCUGAGACACGAAAGCGUGGGUAGCAAACAGG